UUUUAAAUCAAUAAGCCAACCAACCUUUUACACAAUGAGUGUCCAAGGGAUUCGACAACCUGUACCAUUUUAUCAACAUUGUGACUAAAUCAUUCUUCUUCUCAGAGCUCAAAGAAGGCCUUUGGGCCUACCACUCCAAUAGUUCACAUACUUACAACUUUGCACACAAAUUCUUUAUUAAAUUAUUACCAAUGUCUCCUACCAAGAAAUUAGUCUCAAGAUGAC